ACAAAGGCUCUUUUCAGAGCCACCACCUUCUCACGAGAGAGCUGCC
rfam:Fukomys damarensis contig89872, whole genome shotgun sequence.